rnacentral:rRNA from 1 species
AAUUGACGGGGGCCCGCACAAGCGGUGGAGCAUGUGGUUUAAUUCGAUGCAACGCGAAGAACCUUACCUGGCCUUGACAUCCAGAGAACUUAGCAGAGAUGCUUCGGUGCCUUCGGGAACUCUGAGACAGGUGCUGCAUGGCUGUCGUCAGCUCGUGUUGUGAAAUGUUGGGUUAAGUCCCGCAACGAGCGCAACCCUUAUCCUUUGUUGCCAGCGGGUGAUGCCGGGAACUCAAAGGAGACUGCCGGUGAUAAACCGGAGGAAGGUGGGGAUGACGUCAAGUCAUCAUGGCCCUUACGGCCAGGGCUACACACGUGCUACAAUGGCGCAUACAAAGAGAAGCGACCUCGCGAGAGCAAGCGGACCUCAUAAAGUGCGUCGUAGUCCGGAUCGGAGUCUGCAACU